GGGGUUGUGGCUCAGUGGUAGAGUGCUUGCCUAGCAUGUAUGAGGCUCUGGGUUAGAUUUUCAGCACCA
rnacentral:tRNA from 1 species